UAAUCAUUUAUUUUUAGUGAUUCGAAAUGGACGAAGUGAAACACAUAAGAAGGAAAUUUUAGCCAUUCGGAAGCUGUUUUAAACUUGCUUUUAGCAUUUUUUAAACUUGCGUUCUAAGCUAUAUCCAUUUUUUUUUUUGAAAACGAUUUUAAUAUUUUCACUUCUUCCAUUUCAACAAACAUCUUUAAAAAUCUUUCAUACGUAUAAAGAAAAAGAAAUUUUAAAUUUUGCCUUCAAGUUUAUUCAGUUAUACAAAAUUUAGAGGAAACCCAAUGAUCGAAUUAUUUGUAUUUGCAUUUUUUUCAUCAGGUGUAGCAAACCUAUCUGUGCCAAGCAUAUGCUUGGACGUCAUCAGUAACCAAUAUUAAAAUAUUUGUAUGAAAAAUUUCUAUCUUCUUUAUUAGCAGUAACGAGCGAAAAUGAGGUAGUUAUGUUAAAAAAUUAUUUUCAAUUUCAAACUUGUAUAUAAAAUGUUUGUGUGAUCGAUAUAUGCUGUUGAUUAGGUGUCCCAGGUCAUUCUGAGCCAGCUGUCCCAAGCCAUUCUGAGCCAGGUGUCUCAAGCCAAUCUGAGCCAGGUAUCAUAAAACAAUAUGAUAUGGGUGACCCAAGCAAAACUAACGAAAUAGGUAUGUUCAAACAUUAUCA